UUUUCCUUUUUAUACGACCGCAAAAUUUGAAAAAAUUUUCGUCGUAUAUUGCUAUCACGUUGGCGUCGUCGUCUGCGUCGUCGUCGUCGUCCUCGUCCGAAUACUUUUAGUUUUCGCACUCUAACUUUGGUAAAAGUGAAUAGAAAUCUAUGAAAUUUUAACACAAGGUUUAUGACCACUAAAGGAAGGUUGGGAUUGAUUUUGGGAGUUUUGGUCCCAACAUUUUAGGAAUAAGGGGCGAAAAGGGCCCAAAUAAGCAUUUUCUUGGUUUUCGCACUAUAACUUUAGUUAAAGUUAAUAGAAAUCUAUGAAAUUUUGACACAAGGUUUAUGACCACAAAAGAAAGGUUGGGAUUGAUUUUGGGAGUUUUGGUUCCAACAGUUUAGGAAUUAGGGACCAAAAAAGGGCACAAAUAAGCAUUAUUCUUGGUUUUCGCACAAUAACUUUAGUUUAAGUCAAUAGAAAUCAAUGAAAUUUAAACACAAUGUUUAUGAUUACAAAAGGAAGGUUGGUAUUGAUUUUGGGAGUUUAGGUCCCAACAGUUUAGGAAUUAGGGGCCAAAAAGGGACCCAGGUAAGCAUUUUUCUUGGUUUUCGCACCAUAACUUUAGUAUAAGUAAAUAGAAAUCUAUGAAAUUUAAACACAAGGUUUAUGACCAUAAAAGGAAGGUUGGUAUUGAUUUUGGGAGUUUUGGUCCCAACAGUUUAGGAAUAAAGGGCCCAAAGGGUCCAAAUUAAACUUUGUUUGAUUUCAUCAAAAAUUGAAUAAUUGGGGUUCUUUGAUAUGCCGAAUCUAACUGUGUAUGCAGAUUCUUAAUUUUUGGUCCCGUUUUCAAAUUGGUCUACAUUAAGGUCCAAAGGGUCCAAAAUUAAACUUAGUUUGAUUUUAACAAAAAUUGAAUCCUUGGGGUUCUUUGAUAUGCUGAAUCUAAAAAUGUACUUAGAUUUUUUAUUAUUGGCCCAGUUUUCAAGUUGGUCCAAAUCGAGGUCCAAAAUUAAACUUUGUUUGAUUUCAUAAAAAAUUGAAUAAUUGAGGUUCUUUGAUAUGCCAAAUCUAACUGUGUAUGUAGAUUCUUAAUUUUUGGUCCCGUUUUAAAAUUGGUCUACAUUAAAGUCCAAAGGGUCCAAAAUUAAACUAAGUUUGAUUUUAACAAAAAUUGAAUUUUU
rnacentral:lncRNA from 1 species